rnacentral:rRNA from 1 species
UGAAUACGAGACGCUAAGGCGUCGAAGUAGUGUAUGUCAUACUUCCAAGAAAAGCUUGCACUGUCAUAGAUAGAAAACGCCUGUACCAUAACCGACACAGGUGGGUAGGUAGAGUAUACUAAGGGGCGCGAGAUAACUCUCUCUAAGGAACUCGGCGAAAUAACUCCGUAACUUCGGGAGAAGGAGUGCCCUAUUCGUAAGGUUGCAAUAACAAGAUCCAAGCAACUGUUUAUCAAAAACACAGGUCUCCGCUAAGUCGUAAGACGAUGUAUGGGGGCUGACGCCUGCCCAGUGCCAGAAGGUUAAAGAAGUUGGUUAGCAAUUGCGAAGCUAAUAACUGAAGCCCUGGUGAACGGCGGCCGUAACCAUAACGGUCCUAAGGUAGCGAAAUUCCUUGUCGGGUAAGUUCCGACCCGCACGAAAGGCGUAAUGAUUUGGAUACUGUCUCGGAGAGGGGCUCGGUGAAAUAGACUUGUCUGUGAAGAUGCGGACUACCUGCACCAGGACAGAAAGACCCUAUGAAGCUUUACUGUAACUUGAAAUUGAAAUUGGACUUUAUUCGCGCAGUAUAGGUGGGAGGCGUUGAUUAUAAUCUUGUGGGAUUAUUGGAGCCAUCAGUGAGAUACCACUCUUGUAAUGUUAGAUUUCUAACUUUGAAUCAUUAUCUGGUCAAAGAACAGUUUCAGGCGGGCAGUUUGACUGGGGCGGUCGCCUCCUAAACGGUAACGGAGGCGUACAAAGGUUUCCUCUGAACGGUUAGAAAUCGUAUCUAGAGUGUAAAGGCAUAAGGAAGCUUGACUGUGAGACCUACAAGUCGAGCAGGGACGAAAGUCGGUCUUAGUGAUCUGACGGUACUGAGUGGAAAGGCCGUCACUCAACGGAUAAAAGUUACUCUAGGAUAACAGGCUGAUCUCCCCCAAGAGUUCACAUCGACGGGGAGGUUUGGCACCUCGAUGUCGGCUCAUCGCAUCCUGGGGCGGUAGUACGUCCCAAGGGUUGGGCUGUUCGCCCAUGAAAGCGGUACGCGAGCUGGGUUCAGAACGUCGUGAGACAGUUCGGUCCAUAUCCGGUGUAGGCGUUAGAAUAUUGAGAGGAGCCUUCUUUAGUACGAGAGGACCGAGAAGGACAUACCUCUGGUGUACCAGUUAUCGUGCCAACGGUAAACGCUGGGUAGCUAUGUAUGGAGUGGAUAACCGCUGAAAGCAUCUAAGUGGGAAGCCCACCUCAAGAUAAGUAUUCUCA